GUUCCUUUAGCUCAGACGAUCCUCAGUGGUCCCAGAUGUUCAACCAGCUUUUAGAAGAUAAGAUAGGAAGAUAAGAAGAUGGCAUCGACAAAGCUUCUUCUCUUGAUGUGGGCUCUUGUCAUUUCAUCGAUUUUACCAAGUGGAUACCAAUAUAAUGACACCCUUGAUUAUUGGGUUGAUUAUAAUUAUUUUGACAACUGGAAUGGCUCCCUACUCAUGCCUGAAGACUUAACAAACUAUACAUGGUUUGGGCCAGUGCAAGAUGACUCAUCCUCCUUCACCUAUUCAGCUGCUGCGCACUUCUUGCAGAGGAAAACCGUUGGGGAAAAUGUCCUUGGUUCCCUCUGCCUGCUCUGUGCUGUUCUGGUACUGUGAACACCAGAAAAGAAAACAAAUCUCCUUGUAUUGUUGGAUUCUAUUGUAUUGCAUUGUAGAAUCUGUUACAACUCUUGUUUGAGAUCCUCCUCCUUUGACUGCAGUGUAUUUACUUGGUACCUUGUGAAUUAGUCCACGUCUGCUAAAUUAUGAGUGAAACCAGCUCAACAAAACUGCUUCUUAUCUUCUUUAUUUAGAAGGAAACAUGCAAUUACAGACUACUUUAAAACAGAGAUGUGUCAGAGGUCGUUUGUGGUUUUAAUCCUGUGCGAAUGUCAAUAAUUUGUGGAGUAAAAUAAAAAUCCCACCACAAAUUUAAAAAAAAAAAAAAAAAAAAAAAGUUUGGUUUCUUUUUUUUCACUAAAGAAUCAUGGAGUCAGUUUAAACACACAUGUGUAGGUGGUAAUUUCUAAAACACAUGUAAAACUGAUACCAUGUGAAUAUGGAUUUUGUCAACUUUUAACUGAAUGCUGCAUCUAUUUAGCAUGAAUAAGUCUCCAACAUUACAACAUACAGCCAUCAGCCACAACAUUAUGACCACUGAGAGAAGAAGUAAAUAACAUUAAAACCAUCUUGUCACAACUAACGGUUCUACUGGGAAACUUUUGGACCUGGCAUUCAUUUGUGAAGAUGUUAUUUAGACAUGUAGCACCCACCUAGACCAGACCAAACACCCCCACCCCAUAGCAAUGACACUCCACAUAAUGGCAGCACCCAUCUCCAGCAGGAGACAUACACAAAAACACAUUAGAAACAACUAAAAAAGCAUAAAGAACAGCACAAGGUGUUGACCUGGCCUCCAAAUUCACUAGAUCCCA